rnacentral:rRNA from 1 species
GUUCCUUGGAAAAGGACAGCUGAGAGGGUGACACUCCCGUCCGCCUGGUAGAGUGAGUCUUUGUCAACGAGUCGAGUUGUUUGGGAUUGCAGCUCUAAUUUGGUGGUAAAUUCCAUCUAAAGCCAAAUAUUGGUGGGAGACCGAUAGCGUACAAGUACCGUGAGGGAAAGAUGCAAAGAACUUUGAAAAGAGAGUUAAAGAGUACCUGAAAUUGCUGAAACGGAAGCGAAGGAAACCAGUGUUUGUUGGUUCAUAUUUCCCUUGUCACUUGUGAUGUGGGCGCUGUGAGCUUGCGUGGGUUUGCUUUGGUUGAUUCCUUUGGAAGAGCGCAGUCAGAGUUGAUGUCU